rnacentral:tRNA from 1 species
UGCCGCUUCCUUGAACUAUCAACCUACCUGACCCAAUAAUCACACUUUCCCUCACACUAACCAUCCUAA